GUGGGGAAUAUUGGACAAUGGGCGAAAGCCUGAUCCAGCCAUGUCGCGUGUGUGAAGAAGGUCUUCGGAUUGUAAAGCACUUUAAGUUGGGAGGAAGGGUAGUAACCUAAUACGUUGCUACUUUGACGUUACCGACAGAAUAAGCACCGGCUAACUUCGUGCCAGCAGCCGCGGUAAUACGAAGGGUGCAAGCGUUAAUCGGAAUUACUGGGCGUAAAGCGGGCGUAGGUGGUUCAGUAAGUUGGAAGUGAAAUCCCCGGGCUCAACCUGGGAACUGCUUUCAAAACUGCUGAGCUAGAGUACGGUAGAGGGUGGUGGAAUUUCCUGUGUAGCGGUGAAAUGCGUAGAUAUAGGAAGGAACACCAGUGGCGAAGGCGACCACCUGGACUGAUACUGACACUGAGGUGCGAAAGCGUGGGGAGCAAACAGGAUUAGAAACCCGGGUAGUCC
rnacentral:rRNA from 1 species